CUUUCUGUUCUUCCACAGCUUUCUUGAACUGCUGCAUGGUUCAAUCUUGAUCUAUUGGAUCUGUGUUUGUGUUUUUGGUUUUGGUUUGAUCAAUCUUUGCAGUUCAAUAAAGCUGUGGGAAGAUAGAGACA
rnacentral:pre_miRNA from 1 species